CUCACAGGUCUGUAGGUCAGAAAUCCAGCAGGGUGGGGCCAGGCCCUCUGCUUAGGACUCCGAAGGCUGAAGUCAGGUAUCAGCCCCUGAAUAACUUAGUUCCAGCACUUGUGGGCCUGAGUGCUCCACUUCCUGGCUGGCAUCCAACUGGGGAAUCCUCUCAGCUCCUCGAGGCUGCCCACACUCCUGCCCUGGAGGCCUCUCCACCUGCAGGCCAGCAAUGGCACAUUCAAUUUAUUUCACCCCUUGGACUUCACUGUCCUCUUUUUGGACCAGCGAAAGAAAAUCACCAGCUUUUAAAGGGCUCCUGUGAUUAGGUCAGGCCUACUUGGAUCAACUCUCUUAAAGUAAACUGUAGCUUACAGCAUCAUAAAAUCUCCAGCGUAAAAGACAUUAUGUCCAUAGACUUGGAAAUUAGGCAGUGGGUGUUCUCUUAAGAGGUGGGACAUGUUCUUCGGGGCUAUCUGAGAAUUUUGUCCACCGCAUCAAAGAACAUGGUAAAGGACAUUAAAAUGAUGCAAAAAAAAGUCUUAAUUAACAAUUAAGUGAGCUAUUUCUAUCUUGUUUCUCUCAACUUUAUACUUCAGUGAUAACCACACAACAGUUUUCUUAUAUAUCCUUCCAGGAAAAAAAAUAAGAAAGAUGCAUAUAUAUCCCUACAUUUCCUCUUUAAAUGUAAGUAAGUAGCAUCAUAUUGCUGAUUUCAUGUAAUCUCUUUUGGAGCUCCUUAGCGACCAAUGUGAAUCUGCAGCACUCUUUAUCACAUCUACAUGGAAGUCGCUUUCUCCUUUCUUUAAUAGUUACAGAAGAAUAAGCAAAGAAAUCAACAAUAAAUCACCUCUAAAAUAGAUAUAGAUUAUUUACUGUUUCCCAAAGAUUUUUAUAUUAUGUACAGAGUUUGCAUCAGGUCUAUUGUUCUACCUGAAACACUAAUUUCUUUCAAAACAUACACAUUCUCCAGGAGUCCCUGUUUUGGGGGAGAGUCAGCAUAUUCUACUGUAAAGCAAAUAUAAAGGGCAACUUCUUAGGGAAAUGAUCUCUUUAGGAUUUCAACAGGAUUUUCUCACACAUGAUGGAAGAGUACCAUAAAGAAGGAGGUAAAACAAGAAAAGAAAGUUUUGCGCUAUUUUUUAUUGGUUUCUUUUUUGUCUAUGACUUGUACUCUAACAUGUUGGCCAUUCUUUUAAGAUUAAGGUACAGAGUGUAUUAACUAAUGUUAUUCUUUAAUUACUUGUUAUGAAAUGUUGCUUUAUUUUCCCAUAGAAGUAAGAAGACCUUUUUAAAAAUUUUGUUUAUUAAUAUCUACUUGUAUUACACUGAAAUAAAAAAGAAGGAUAAAGAGAAGGAGAAGAAGGGCGGGGGAAGGAAAUACAAAAGCAAAAGAAAUCAGAUUAAGGUUAAAUUGAAGCCUGGAGUCCAUCUAUGCUCAGAGCAGAAAUAAAAGUCCACCCUCUCAUCAUUCACAUCUUUUCUCCAUAGCA
rnacentral:lncRNA from 1 species